UUUUUGAACAAGUUGGAGUCUAAGCGGUGUUGCGAGAGAAAAAGGCUGUUGGAGGCAGGUAGGAGGACAGGAGCUGGAAGAAGCACAGACCUCCACAGCAGGGUCUGAGCCCAGUCCCUGAGCCUGCAGCGCCUCCUCCCUCUUCAUCUUGGGUUUCUCUGUCCUCGUGUGCCACACCAGCACCUGCGAAUCGCACACAUUGUCCGCUUUGGGUUCCAGUUCGUCCAUCGUCACCAGUCCCUGAAGGAAGCUGC